rnacentral:rRNA from 1 species
CUGCCAUAGGGCAGGCUACACAUGCAGUCGAGCGGUAGCACAGAGAGCUUGCUCUCGGGUGACGAGCGGCGGACGGGUGAGUAAUGUCUGGGAAACUGCCUGAUGGAGGGGGAUAACUACUGGAAACGGUAGCUAAUACCGCAUAACGUCGCAAGACCAAAGAGGGGGACCUUCGGGCCUCUUGCCAUCAGAUGUGCCCAGAUGGGAUUAGCUAGUAGGUGGGGUAAUGGCUCACCUAGGCGACGAUCCCUAGCUGGUCUGAGAGGAUGACCAGCCACACUGGAACUGAGACACGGUCCAGACUCCUACGGGAGGCAGCAGUGGGGAAUAUUGCACAAUGGGCGCAAGCCUGAUGCAGCCAUGCCGCGUGUAUGAAGAAGGCCUUCGGGUUGUAAAGUACUUUCAGCGAGGAGGAAGGCAUUGUGGUUAAUAACCACAGUGAUUGACGUUACUCGCAGAAGAAGCACCGGCUAACUCCGUGCCAGCAGCCGCGGUAAUACGGAGGGUGCAAGCGUUAAUCGGAAUUACUGGGCGUAAAGCGCACGCAGGCGGUCUGUCAAGUCGGAUGUGAAAUCCCCGGGCUCAACCUGGGAACUGCAUUCGAAACUGGCAGGCUAGAGUCUUGUAGAGGGGGGUAGAAUUCCAGGUGUAGCGGUGAAAUGCGUAGAGAUCUGGAGGAAUACCGGUGGCGAAGGCGGCCCCCUGGACAAAGACUGACGCUCAGGUGCGAAAGCGUGGGGAGCAAACAGGAUUAGAUACCCUGGGAGUCCACGCCGCAAACGAUGUCGACUUGGAGGUUGGUCCCUUGAGGAGUGGCUUCCGGAGCUAACGCGUUAAGUCGACCGCCUGGGGAGUACGGCCGCAAGGUUAAAACUCCAAUGAAUUGACGGGGGGCCCGCACAAUCGGUGGAGCAUGUGGGUUUAAUUCGAUGCAAUUUUGAAUAAACCUUACCUUAUUCUUGGACCUCCCUGAGAACUUUUUUUUAAAAAUUUUUUGGGGGCCUUUCGGGGAAAUUUUUAAAACAAGUGGUGUGGUUGGUUUUUGUUUCCAAUUUCCGUUUUGCUAGAACG